ACCUAUGUAUCCUAACCUAAAACUUUGCCGACAAUUCCCCACCCUUCAUCGAGACUCUCUUCUUCGAGACUCUCUCACUCUCAACUCUUACGCCAUCACUCUCAUCGAUCUAUGGAUACCCUGGAUGAGCUCAGAUCCCCACCGUCACCAGCACCAUCCUCGUUGCAUCGUUAGCCUCCGCCUCGUCUCAUCCUUGCCUCUGCCCUAGCAUCCAACAAUGUCGUCGUAGUUUCGUGCUCUCCUGUCGUCUUCCUGCGAUGGCCACCAUGCCUUCCUUGUCAUCGCGAUGCUAACAUCCCAUCCACCACACCUCCACCUCGUAUUUGCCUCACUGUUUCUGCUUUACUCCUUCAUCCCUGUUGGAUGUUAAGAACGGCAUUUCGAAGAUGCAAUCCUUGCAAUCUAACCACGCUAAAGAGUUGAAGAUGCGUGAAUCACUCGAAGCUAGUUGCAUCACUCUCAGAAGAGAGAAUGAAAAUAUGGCGAAACGGUACAUGGAGUCUUUAAAUAAUCUGGAUGAUCAGGUGCUUGAAGUUAUGCCCUGGACUCAAUUUUCUUGUUUGAGUAGAGCAGGUGGUACUAUAAGGAUGAAAUAAACAUGCUUUGGAUCUAUGAUUAAAAGUUGGUUUUAAAUUCUGGUUGAGAAAAAAAAAGGACAUGGUGUUCCUAGCAGCAAUUUUUAUUCUUCAUGCAGGCACUCUUUUCAUUCUCUCAGGCCUUAUUGUCAACGCAAUGCAGAUUCAAGAAUCUGACGAAGCAAGAAGGAAGUUCUCAAAUGCUAAAUCUCCUUCUUCCUACCAAUUUUUUGGAGAUCAGAACAAAGUUGCAGACGUGGCUGAUCAAGCUACUUUGUCAAAGUUUUCAGAUUUCCCAAGAGUUCUGAGGCUGGCGAAGCUGAGCAACAAUGGUGUUGUGCUCUUAUGCAAGAACACGGGUUUUUCUUUCUCUUCCCUCAAAUAGAGGAACCUUCUGGGAGGACAUGGUUCAAGCCAUGGUGUUUUUCUUUGUGAUGAGGACAUUUUCUUUUGGGACGAGGACCUUGGAGUUUAAGAGUUCCACCCAGAUAAGAAUGUUGAAAACAAUCUCUGAUUUCUGAAAGUUAGAAAAAAUAUAGUUUGAUGCUCUUAGAUUGUUUAAUUAAAAACAAAAUUGGUGGAGAUUACUUCUGUUUUAUUUUUUUUAAAUGGGCACUCCUAUAAUGUUACAAAAUCUUAAUGAUUCUCAAAUGAUUUUCUGUUAUAUAUCUAUCGUUAAAAGUGAAAGGCUGGAGAUUUCACAACCAGCACUUGAUCCUCAACUUUCUGAAAGGUCUUGCUGUAACCAGCUCUGGAGAUUUUUCAAUUACUUACUGUGCUUAGAAUUGGGCUUUGACUUCCUUGGUAUCCAAAUUGAAAGGUCUUGCUAAGAGAAAAAAGUUAGAGGACUUGAAAAUUGGUCCAGUUCUCACUGUAAGUACAUAUCUUUCAUUUUCUUAAACUUAAAAUAAAAAUAAGUGUUGGCAGCUUCAUACAUUUGUGUAUUAUUCUCCCUAAGAUAUGAUUUGUGCAGAGAGAACUACUCUUGAGUGCUGUAAGUGAGAAGAUAUGAACGAAUUCUAGAGUUAAUUGAAAUAAGUUAUACAUAACUAUUCUAGUGUUCAUAUCCAUGCUUUUGAUUGAUGAUUAAAAAGGAGUUUUUCUGGUGGGGGUGGGAGCUACGGACAAUUUGCUGCUUUCAGGUUAAACACACAUUUCCAAGUUUGUGCCCUAGUUGAUAUAGGUGUGCAUUAUUUAUUUGUUUGACAUGAUUGGUAAUGGUAAACUGCAGACUGUGGAGUCAUAUAUCCAAUAGUAUAUUAGUUGUUUGAUAAAUAAUUACUCAGAGGUUCUUUUUAAUUUUCUUACUUUAUUUCACUUCUUUUUUUAUUUUUUUUUUAUUUUUUUAUGUGCAGUUUACAACUGAAUCAAUGUUGUAAAUAGAGAAAAUUAAAUAGAAGAAAAGCACAGCUUAACGAAAAGCUUUUGAAGAUGCAUAUACUCAAAAUCAUGUUCUUACAUACUUUUGGUUGUUGUGCUUGUAAGAAGGACAUACAAAAUUGGAGGUUGUGAUUUGAGCAGCACUGCUCCUCCUUAUACCAGGUGGAUUGAAAUGAUGGCUCCUGGAUUAGUAAUAUGUAAUUCAAGGAUGGUAGCUUGCUUAGAAUCUUCGUUAGCUUGGGUACUAGUAGUGUUUUUUUGUUUCAGUAAAAACUAGUGGUCUCUUUUGUAACUUCCUAUUGAUUCUAAAAUUUUUUCUCUUAUGUAAUAAUAUGUAAAGGAAGUAGAUAAUGUAAUAAUUGUUGUAAUGAUUUUGAUUUUUGGUAUUUUGUUAGAGCAUGUCAUGUGAUCAAUCACACUAUAUUUGGUGACAAGUUUAUAAAGAUUGGAUUAGUUGAUUUAAAAUUAGUGGUUAUUGUAUAAACUUUACAAUUAUCUAUGAAUUUUAUAAGAUUUUAUUACAAAGAUUAGAGAAAGAACAAUAGAACCUGAACAAAGUUAUAGCUACGCUUUGAAAGCGUAGUCAUAUUGUACAACAGUCAUCAACAGCUACACUUUAAAAGUGUAGCCAUAUCUCUUGCUACUAGCACUCUUUAAAAGCGUAGCCAUAUCUUUUGCUACUGGCACGCUUUAAAAGCGUAGCGAUAUCUCUCGCUGUUGGCACGCUUUAAAAGCGUAGCCGUAUCUCCAACUAUUGGCACGCUUUAAAAGCGUACCGAUAUCUUUCACAUACAGCCAUGCUUAAAAGCGUGGCAAUAGAUAAAAGUGUGGCGACAGAAAAAGCAUGGCCAUAGGUCACCAAAAGCGUGGUAAUAAAGCAACUGGCACGCUAGCAGUUGUGACCCUUUCAAAAGCGUGCCGGUAGCUCAAAAAGCGUGGCAAAAAGCUAUUGCUACGCUUUUUUCAACUUUUCGCCACGCUUUAAAAGCGUAGCAAAAUCCUGGUUUCCUUGUAGUGUACUCUGUUAAAUGC